rnacentral:lncRNA from 1 species
AUUUUAUGCUAUCUUCCUACAACUGUAACAAAUCAUCUGAUAAGAUGUAAGGGUCAGAAACCGACGAAAAGUUCUUUUUGGUAUCGUAAUGGCAAUGUAUAAAAUGAAGAGAGAAACUAGAGAGUAAAUUGCAAAAUUUUUACUUAUUCGUAAAAAAUUCUUUCAUAUCAAAAUACACAAUAUAUAUACAUCUGUACAAAACGAUAAUAAUGAAUGAAAAUACAUAAAAACAAUAAUAACAUAUUACAUAACAUAUUACAUAAUACAGUAGCUUGGCCUAGAAAAGGGGUCAACUAAGCCAAGCCAAAAAUUUCAUAGUUAGCCAAAACAAAUCACCUAGUAUAAAAAAGAAGCAAAAACAAAAACAAUCAAAUUUCUAAGUAAAGAAAAGGAGUUGAAAAGGGGGAUGGAGGGAGGGAAAUUGAUAAAAUCCCAAAUAAAAUCUUGUUUACAUAAAUAUCGAUCGUGUUGCUUAUCAAGGAUGUGUAAACUGUGACGUGUAGUGUAAAUACUGACACACAUAAUCUAGGCAGGGGCUCUCCAAAGGGAAAGGCAAAUUAACUUAGAAUAAAACUAAAGAUUUCCGUCAUCUGCAUAAAAUAAGUUAUUAAAAUAACUUGCCUUUAUGCUAUCUUCCUACAACUGUAACAAAUCAUCUGAUAAGAUGUAAGGGUCAGAAACCGACGAAAAGUUCUUUUUGGUAUCGUAAUGGCAAUGUAUAAAUGAAUGGAGAAACUAGAGAGUAAAUUGCAAAAUUUUUACUUAUUCGUAAAAAAUUCUUUCAUAUCAAAAUACACAAUAUAUAUACAUCUGUACAAAACGAUAAUAAUGAAUGAAAAUACAUAAAAACAAUAAUAACAUAUUACAUAACAUAUUACAUAAUACAGUAGCUUGGCCUAGAAAAGGGGUCAACUAAGCCAC